rnacentral:rRNA from 1 species
GACGAACGCUGGCGGCGUGCUUAACACAUGCAAGUCGAGCGAUGAAGUUUCUUCGGAAAUGGAUUAGCGGCGAACGGGUGAGGAACACGUGAAGAAUCUGCCCUCCACUUUGGGAUAACACCGGGAAACCGGUGCUAAUACCGAAUAUUGAAACAUAAGUGGCAUCACUGAGUUUUGAAAGAAUUUCGGUGGAGGAUGACUUCGCGGCCUAUCAGCUAGUUGGUGAGGUAAUGGCUCACCAAGGCAACGACGGGUAGCCGGCCUGAGAGGGCGACCGGCCACACUGGGACUGAGACACGGCCCAGACUCCUACGGGAGGCAGCAGUGGGGAAUAUUGGGCAAUGGAGGAAACUCUGACCCAGCGACGCCGCGUGCGGGAUGAAGGCCU